rnacentral:rRNA from 1 species
AGAGUUUGAUCCUGGCUCAGAACGAACGCUGGCGGCGUGCUUAACACAUGCAAGUCGAGCGGAAAGUGCCCUUCGGGGUACUCGAGCGGCGAACGGGUGAGUAACACGUGAGGAACUGCCCCGGACUUUGGGAUAACCCUCGGAAACGGGGGCUAAUACCGAAUAUGACUUCCCCUCGCAUGGGGGGUGGUGGAAAGUUUUUCGGUCUGGGAUGGUCUCGCGGCCUAUCAGCUUGUCGGUGGGGUAAUGGCCUACCAAGGCGACGACGGGUAGCCGGCCUGAGAGUGGCGACGGCCACACUGGGACUGAGACACGGGCCAGACUCCUACGGGAGGCAGCAGUGGGGAAUAUUGCACAAUGGGCGGAAGCCUGAUGCAGCGACGCCGCGUGAGGGAUGACGGCCUUCGGGUUGUAAACCUCUUUCAGCAGGGACGAAGCGCAAGUGACGGUACCUGCAGAAGAAGCGCCGGCCAACUACGUGCCAGCAGCCGCGGUAAGACGUAGGGCGCGAGCGUUGUCCGGAUUUAUUGGGCGUAAAGAGCUCGUAGGCGGCUUGUCGCGUCGACUGUGAAAACCCGCGGCUCAACCGCGGGCCUGCAGCCGAUACGGGCAGGCUAGAGUUCGGUAGGGGAGACUGGAAUUCCUGGUGUAGCGGUGAAAUGCGCAGAUAUCAGGAGGAACACCGAUGGCGAAGGCAGGUCUCUGGGCCGAUACUGACGCUGAGGAGCGAAAGCGUGGGGAGCGAACAGGAUUAGAUACCCUGGUAGUCCACGCUGUAAACGUUGGGCGCUAGGUGUGGGGGACCUCUCCGGUUCUCUGUGCCGCAGCUAACGCAUUAAGCGCCCCGCCUGGGGAGUACGGCCGCCAAGGCUAAAACUCAAAUGAAUUGACGG